AUUAGAGUUUACGGAUUGAGUUGA
rnacentral:siRNA from 1 species